CUGGGAUUACAGGUGUGAGCCACCGUGCCCGGCUCAUGUAACUUUUUUUAAAAAACCUUCUGGAAGCUACUGGUAGGAUUUCUUUAGCCUAGCCACACAGACCCAGUUGUUUAGGGACUGCUGCUACCAGACAUCAUAACAAAUACAUAUUUUGGUAACGUCAACAAUUUUUUAAAUGCCAUGCCUUUAAAAAAAGUUAACAACAGCAUUUAUUAUCUUGCUGUUUGAACAGUCUCAACUGAAAAUUUUUCAUUUAACAAGGGGCAGAAGUCAUACCAUUUGUUUUCUUUCUAACGAACUUUUCUGAAACAUAGCACUUCAAUACAAUUUGGCAUUUUUUUGCCAUGCUUUUAUCUUGUUAACCUGAAUUGUAUAAUGCUUUCUGUGAUAAGAGAAAAAAUGUUUAGCAUUUCCCACUUGAGUCUGAACUGUAACAGAUUUAUGUAGACAUAACCUUAUAUAGUCUUCUUUUGUAUUUGACCUUGAGAUACCAAGUGAUGAUGUCAGACUGUUGGUUGCAAGACAAGUUUGAGCUACAAAAAUUAAUUGUAUUUUUAAACAGAUCAUUUUAUAUUAACUUUGGACAUCAUGAAAUUUUUGAUACGUAAAAUACCACUUAACAUGCUACACAAAUUUGCUCUUUUGUUAACAUUGGUGGCUACUUCUGACAUUUACAUCUAUUCUUCUACUGGAAUAUGUAUUUUAUGUUAAUAAAGUUUUUAUAUCUAAUUUCUGGAGAUGCUUCCAGAAAUUGAGUCCACAUUCUACCAUUGUCUUGUAAACUUACUGUUGCUUCAUUCAUGUCUACUUUGUGUUAUGCCCUGUUCUCUUCUACCUCUGUCAGAUGAACAUUUAUCCCUUUCUCUCUUGCAGGGCUAAGUUCCCAAGCCCCCACCUCGACCACACCAUGUGCGGUGGUAUUGGUGCCUUACUGCCUUUCCUCGGGCCUUGCCUUGACUGCUGCUAUCCCUCCAUCUUCUCUGGCUCCUUCUGGUUUGCAUCAGGUCCCUGUGUUUCUCUUUAAAUAUAUGAAACUUAAAACAAUGUUUUUGUUUUCUUUUUGUAUCUGGUUUCCUUUCCUUUUAGUCUGUUAUUCUGCUUUACUCCUACCUUUUACCUCUAAAUUCCUUGUGCAGCCUGUCUUAAGCAUUGUUCAGUUCUUAAUGAUUUCUGCUCUGACUCCUGUGUCUCUUCCAGGCCCUCUGACACUGGAAGCCUUGUACUGUGUCUGGCACAUGUGUCAUGGAUGCUCAGUACAUAGUCACUGAUUGAGUGAAAGCUAUUCCAUGAAACCAGUUACAUUCAUGUUCACCAGUGACCUUUUGCUGACCACAUGCAGCAACCUUUCCCUAGUUCUCAUUCUGUUUAACCGGUUGAAACAGUUUUUUCUUUUUUUCAAGCCUGUCUCUCGUUUUCAGAAAUUUUCUUUAGUUUAUCUUUGCUUCUUUGAUAUUGUCCUUUCUUGGUCCCACUCCUACCUCUGGCUACUUCCUUCAGUUUCCUUCAUUGAUUUCUUUUGGCUAAAUAGUUUUCCGUGAAGAUGUUUCUCAAAGUUUGCAGUUCUCCUCAGUGUCAGUCCUCUGAAGUAAUAGCUUCCAAUCUAUUGAUGUCAUCUUUUGGCUCCUAUGUCUUUACCAUCUAGCGCUCCAGACCGAUUAUCAAUGUUCCAGACAUUUCUCUGUGGAUAUUCCUUUGAUCUCAAAUUCAAUUUCUCCAAAAGCCUUAAUAUCUUCAGAGAAUGUUUUUUAGCUUUUUGUUUUUAUUCUUUCUUGGGAGUGUUGGUGGUGGAAAGUAGGGAGGAUUGUCUUACUGUCUGGGUGAAGGAAGAGCCCUUGGGCUCAACUACUCAGUUUGAAGAUUUUCAAGCAAACGCUUAGUUUUAACCCCACGUCUGACACUGCCUUAAGUGGUACGUAGCAUCUUCAAAUCCAGAGUCAUUUCAGACUACCUGUGGGAUGAGUUGUUUUGUUCCCCUUAGGUUCAGAGUCCCUUUUUGCAGUCACUUAGGUAGAAGCUUUCUCUGCUCAGUUACUAUGCCUUCAUCUGCUUUUGCCUUCUAAACCUUUUCUGAAAUAUCUUGCCUGCUGUAUUUGGCCAUUUUUGCAUUGCUGUAAAGAAUUACUGCGGCUGAGUAAUUUAUAAAGAAAAGAGGUUUUAUUGGCUCACAGUUCUGUAGGCUUUACAGAAAGCGUGGGACCAACAUCUGCUCGGCUUCUGGUGAAAAUCACAGCAGAAGGCAAAGAAGGAGAAGACAUGUCGCAUAGCAAGAGCAGGAGCGAGAGAGAGGGGAGAGCUGCCACACGCUUUUAAACAGAUCUCACGAGAACUCACUCACUAUUGCAAAGACAGCACAAAGCCAUCCAUGAGAGUUCUGCCUCUCAUCCAUGAGAGUUCUGGAGGCCUCACCUCCAGCACUGGGGACUAUGUCUCAAUGUGAGGGGACAAACAUUCAAACUGUAUCGGCUGUUACAUCUAUUCUGUUCCUGUCUUUGUACUUAUAACUAAAACAAAACAAAAUAAAAACACACCCUUUUGCUGUCAUUUUAGAGUAUUUUGUUCAAGAGAAAAAAAAAUCAAUGUGUAUAUUCUAUCCAGUGUUAAGCAGAAUUUGUAUCCUUUUUUAUAUAGUUGAUCAAAGUGAAUCUCAGGUUAAGUCACUUGACACAACUCCCAAUGGUAAUGAACAGAGGCAAGAGAAUUCAGAGGGAAUUAUGUGCCAUGAUUCUUCCCAUUUGUGUACUGAAUUUAUAAGCUAUAUUUAUAAGCUUCAUUUAUCAAAAAGAAAUCCUAUUAAAACAUAAAAAGAACUAUGUCACCAAGUCCUUUUCUAGAUAUGAGCCGUGAGCUAAAUAAAAUGAUUAUACCUGGACCACAGGUUAUAGAGCCUCCAACCCGGGCCUCAUACAUCAAUGAUUAUUAUGCAUCUUCUCCAUAGCAUGGCAUCUGCCUUAUAUAAAAUUAUACCUCAUGAUCCACCCGCCUUGGCCUCCCAAAGUAGUAGGAUUACAGGCAUCAGCCACCGUGCCUUGCCUGUUUCUUUUUUAACAGACAGUUCUUGCUAUGUCCGGCUGGCCUCAAAGUCCUGGGCCCAAGCAAUUUGCUCACCCCGUCUCCUGAGUAGCUGGGACUGCGACAGGCAUACACCAUUGCUCCUGCUGCUUACUGUCUUCUUUUCUCAGCAAUGCAAAUAGUUGCAGCAAUAUCAUGUUAGUUUAACACACAGAUUUUUAUACGUCUCUUUUUCAGACAAAGAGCUCCCCUACCCCAACAGCCAUUGUACUUGCAACCCCACAUGUAAAUAGAUUACAACAUGUUUUCCUGAUGAUGGCGGGAAUGAUUUGCCUGGAGCUUCACAGUCAGCCCCUAUUCUCUGCCUCUGCCAUUCCUGGCACCUCCUUGGCAUAGUUUUGAAAUUACAUGUGUAAUGAUGGAAAGAACACAGUCUUUGUAACCAGAUAUGCCUGGACUUAAAUCCCAGAUCUUCCAGGUGGUGGCUUGGUAACUUUGGGAAAUGUAUUUAAUGUCUCUGAACCCUGGUUUAUUGAUCUGUAGUAGGGCGGGUCCAUAUUUCAUAGAGGUGUUUUGGAGUGAACUGCGAUAACAUGUAAAGUACUGUACAAUGCCUGACAUAAAGUAGGUACUCAGUAAAAUGAUUGCCUUCUUGCCAUACAAAGUCUGGCUAAAACGUAGAAAUCCUGUAAAUCUUUGCUUGAAAAUGGUAAUUUAUUCUGGAUGAAUAGUAUAGAAAGCAGAUAUUUGAAAUACUGAUACUGUAUGAUGUUUGAGAAUAAGGUAUAUACAAGAAGGCAUACCAUAUUCUACUUUAGCUGGAAGUCAAAAUCUUGCCUCUUGAUUGCUUCU